rnacentral:rRNA from 1 species
CUGCUGCCUCCCGUAGGAGUCUGGUCCGUGUCUCAGUACCAGUGUGGGGGACCUUCCUCUCAGAACCCCUACGCAUCGUCGCCUCGGUGGGCCGCUACCCCGCCGACUAGCUAAUGCGACGCAUGGCCAUCCUAUGCCGGAGUCGCCUCCUUUGACCCCAAGAAGAUGUCUCCUAAAGGUGUUAUGCGGUAUUAGACGGAAUUUCUUCCGCUUAUCCCCCUGCAUAGGGCAGGUUCCAUACGUGUUACUCACCCGUGCG